rnacentral:rRNA from 1 species
UACAGAGGUCUCAAGCGUUGUUCGGAUUCAUUGGGCGUAAAGGGUGCGUAGGUGGCGCUGUAAGUCGGGUGUGAAAUUUCGGAGCUUAACUCCGAAACUGCAUUCGAUACUGCGGUGCUUGAGGACUGGAGAGGAGACUGGAAUUCAUGGUGUAGCAGUGAAAUGCGUAGAGAUCAUGAGGAAGACCAGUGGCGAAGGCGGGUCUCUGGACAGUUCCUGACACUGAGGCACGAAGGCCAGGGAAGCAAACGGG